rnacentral:rRNA from 1 species
GACGAACGCUGGCGGCGUGCUUAACACAUGCAAGUCGAACGGAAAGGCCCUGCUUUUGUGGGGUGCUCGAGUGGCGAACGGGUGAGUAACACGUGAGUAACCUGCCCUUGACUUUGGGAUAACUUCAGGAAACUGGGGAUAAUACCGGAUAGGAGCUCCUGCUGCAUGGUGGGGGUUGGAAAGUUUCGGCGGUUGGGGAUGGACUCGGGGGUUAUCAGCUUGUUGGUGGGGUAGUGGCUUACCAAGGCUUUGACGGGUAGCCGGCCUGGGAGGGUGACCGGCCACAUUGGGCCUGAGGUACGGCCCAGACGCCUACGGGAGGCAGCAGUGGGGAAUAUUGCACAAUGGGCGGAAGCCUGAUGCAGCAACGCCGCGUGCGGGAUGACGGCCUUCGGGUUGUAAACCGCUUUCGCCUGUGACGAAGCGUGAGUGACGGUAAUGGGUAAAGAAGCACCGGCUAACUACGUG